CUACGGGGGGCUGCAGUGAGGAAUAUUGCACAAUGGGGGGAACCCUGAUGCAGCAACGCCGCGUGGAGGAUGACGCAUUUCGGUGUGUAAACUCCUUUUAUAUGUCAAGAAAAUGACGGUAGCAUAUGAAUAAGCACCGGCUAACUCCGUGCCAGCAGCCGCGGUAAUACGGAGGGUGCAAGCGUUACUCGGAAUCACUGGGCGUAAAGGACGCGUAGGCGGGUUGGAAAGUCAGGUGUGAAAUCCAACAGCUUAACUGUAGAACUGCACUUGAAACUUCUAAUCUAGAGUAUGGGAGGGGGAGAUGGAAUUAGUGGUGUAGGGGUAAAACCCGUAGAUAUCACUAGGAAUACCUAAAGCGAAGGCGAUCUCCUGGAACAUUACUGACGCUAAGGCGUGAAAGCGUAGGGAGCAAACAGGAUUAGAUACCCCGGUAGUC
rnacentral:rRNA from 1 species